rnacentral:rRNA from 1 species
UGACCGCUGGCGGCGUGCCUCAUACAUGCAAGUCGAGCGAACAGACGCGGAGCUUGCUCCUCUGACGUUAGCGGCGGACGGGUGAGUAACACGUGGAUAACCUACCUAUAAGACUGGGAUAACUUCGGGAAACCGGAGCUAAUACCGGAUAAUAUAUUGAACCGCAUGGUUCAAUAGUGAAAGACGGUUUUGCUGUCACUUAUAGAUGGAUCCGCGCCGCAUUAGCUAGUUGGUAAGGUAACGGCUUACCAAGGCAACGAUGCGUAGCCGACCUGAGAGGGUGAUCGGCCACACUGGAACUGAGACACGGUCCAGACUCCUACGGGAGGCAGCAGUAGGGAAUCUUCCGCAAUGGGCGAAAGCCUGACGGAGCAACGCCGCGUGAGUGAUGAAGGUCUUCGGAUCGUAAAACUCUGUUAUUAGGGAAGAACAAAUGUGUAAGUAACUAUGCACGUCUUGACGGUACCUAAUCAGAAAGCCACGGCUAACUACGUG